rnacentral:rRNA from 1 species
AUUGAACGCUGGCGGCAGGCCUAACCCAUGCAAGUCGAACGAGUGGCGGACGGGUGAGUAAUGUCUGGGAAACUGCCUGAUGGAGGGGGAUCCCUACUGUAAACGGUAUCUAAUACAGCAUAACAUCACAUGUGCCCAGAUGGGAUUAGCUUGUGGGUGGGGUAAAGGCUCACCACGGCGACGAUCCCUAGCUGGUCUGAGAGUAUGAACAGCCACACUGGAACUGAGACACGGUCCAGACUCCUACGGGAGGCAGCAGUGGGGAAUAUUGCACAAUGGGCGAAAGCCUGAUGCAGCCAUGCCGCGUGUAUGAAGAAGGCCUUCGGGUUGUAAAGUACUUUCAGCGGGGAGGCGUUACCCGCAGAAGAAGCACCGGCUAACUCCGUGCCAGCAGCCGCGGUAAUAC